rnacentral:misc_RNA from 1 species
UACGGAGGGUGCAAGCAUUAAUCGGAUUUAUUGGGCGUAAAGGGCGCGUAGGCGGGGAGAUAAGUCAGAUGUGAAAUCCUGAAGCUCAACUUCAGAACUGCAUUUGAAACUGUCUCUCUAGAGGAUAGGCGGAGAAAACGGAAUUCCACAAGUAGCGGUGAAAUGCGUAGAUAUGUGGAAGAACACCGGUGGCGAAGGCGGUUUUCUAGCUUAUUCCUGACGCUGAUGCGCGAAAGCAAGGGGAUCAAACAGG